GUAAAAGGUCUAAAUACUCUUACGGUACCAGAUUCCAUCUGAACACGGAAGCUAAGCAGAGUCAGCUCUAUAUAAUACUUGGAUAGGAGACCAUCAACAAGUUUCAAAUGCUGUAGGCU
rnacentral:rRNA from 11 species